GACGAACGCUGGCGGCGUGCCUAAUACAUGCAAGUCGAACGCAGUGGGGACGGGUGAGUAACACGUGGGUAACCUCCCAUCAGAGGGGAUAACCCUUGGAAACAGGUGCUAAACCGAUACUGAUGGAUGGACCCGCGGUGCCUUAGCUAGUUGGUGGGGUAACGGCUCACCAAGGCCACGAUGCCUAGCCGACGUGAUAGGGUGAGCGGCAAACCGGGGACUGAGACACGGCCCAGAAUCCUACGGGAGGCAGAAGUAGGGAAGAUGCGGCAAUUGACGAAAGUCGGACCGCGCAACGCCGCGUGAGUGAAGAAGGUUUUCGGAUCGUAAAACUCUGUUGUUAGAGAAGCGGUAUCUAACCAGAAAGCCACGGCUAACUACGUGCCAGCAGCCGCGGUAAUAC
rnacentral:rRNA from 1 species